AUUGGUAUUAUAUUGCGGCGAUCGGCGAGCACGGAGACCGAAGCCUCACUCGACCGUGUCUCGGGAGGCGUGGGGUUUGGUCCGAGGCCACUCGCAGUCAUCGUCGAGGGUAUAGUCCGGAACGCCGGUCGACGUGACGUCUCGUCGAAAUUCCGGAGCGGUCUUCUCGUCGCGGGGCGCGCCGGAGGUCGACGCUACGACGUUCCCGGAGGGGUCGUCGUCGUCGUCGGGUAUUUGACGUGCAUCCGGAGUAGAACGAGGGCACGCGUCGAACCGUCGAAAGUGCGCAAGAAAUGAGAUCGCGUAAAUAACGGCAGAUUAAUUUCGUCGACACUCGUACGUAUAAAAGUGCAAAGUAAAUAAAUAAUACGUAUUUUUUUUAUGGGAAUUAGCCCACCCGGGCACGGGUCACCGACCCACAUCGGGGCGAAAAUGUAAUAAUAAUAAUAAUUGUUGAAGUUACAGUGUUCAUUUUUGGUGGAUAUCAACGAAAUAUGAUGCGAGAGGCUCAGACGACGACACAAACGACGACGCUCUCUCCGGUAUAUUUUCGGGACCGUCCGUAAAAACGAAACCAAAACACGCGUGCGCAUUCAAAGUGGCGCAUUAUUGCACAAGUAAAAUAAAACAUAUUGACAUAAAUAUGGGGUAACCUAGUUUAUAUGUAACAAUAAUACUGAAGAACCUAAAAGAAAUACAAAAUGGAAAAAAAAAUCAAAAGUGAGGAACAAUAGAUUUAUGUUGUGUUGUCAAUAGUAAGAGAAACAAUCGAGACAGAGAGUCAGACGAGCGACCCGGGACUCGGUCACAAUUUUAGGGAUGCCACGUAGCAGGAAGAUCUACCACGGACGACACAUUACGCUUCCAAUAUUGUCUGCGGAGGUGGUAUCUCCCCGUUUGGUGGCUGCCUAAGUAUGUAAGAUUUUCCAAUGGAAAGUGUAUGUUUGGCAAAUGUAUCCAGGUCUUUAGAGAAUGUACUCAGAUAUUUGGGUUAGGUGUCAAGGGUUCAUGUAUAAUUUGCAUGCCUAAUUGACUAUGUAUAUUUUUUAACCUUAAUUUUUCAUUUGCAGUCACCCGACGGGAGUCAGAAACGUCAUUUUUGUGCGGACCGGCGACUCGACGGACCCCGGCCGAGGACGCCGCUCGAACCGCGGUUGCGGAGGAGCGCGCCGAUACGAGUCGGAGACGGCUCGUACAGUCGGCGCACGAGAGCGGUCCGGACGAAGACAUUCGGGAACCGAGGACGAAGACGCUCGUCGACUGCGGACGAAGACGCUCGUCGACUGCGGACGAAGACACCGGUCGACGCGCGAGGAAGAUGCUCCGGAACACGGGAAGAACGCCACACUCCCGAGUGCGGGAAGACACUCGUCAACGCAGAAGGAGACACGCAUCAAUGUCGGGCCGGCGCGAUUGUUUUAAAGACGAUUUAACGUGUAAAAUGAAUGUACGUGUUGUUUGUAGUAUUGUUUUUAGAGACCGACUCUGCGAAGACGGAGGAAGUCGAUACAUGUCGAGAAUGAAUUUAUUGAAGAUGUUGCCUGUGAUCACUAGGUGUUUGCACUAAUUUGGGGAGAUGAUUACGAUCGUAGAACGUCACGGAAUGCGGCGCGCACGUCAUUUGUGGCGGGACGCAUCCGUAAAUAACGGCAGC